CUAGCUAAAGAGGAAUUACUCCCUCCUUAAUGA
rnacentral:tRNA from 1 species